rnacentral:rRNA from 1 species
ACAAGUCGAGCGGGAUGAGUGGGAGCUUGCUCCAUGAUUCAGCGGCGGACGGGUGAGUAAUGCCUAGGAAUCUGCCUGGUAGUGGGGGACAACGUUUCGAAAGGAACGCUAAUACCGCAUACGUCCUACGGGAGAAAGUGGGGGAUCUUCGGACCUCACGCUAUCAGAUGAGCCUAGGUCGGAUUAGCUAGUUGGUGAGGUAAAGGCUCACCAAGGCGACGAUCCGUAACUGGUCUGAGAGGAUGAUCAGUCACACUGGAACUGAGACACGGUCCAGACUCCUACGGGAGGCAGCAGUGGGGAAUAUUGGACAAUGGGCGAAAGCCUGAUCCAGCCAUGCCGCGUGUGUGAAGAAGGUCUUCGGAUUGUAAAGCACUUUAAGUUGGGAGGAAGGGCAGUAAGUUAAUACCUUGCUGUUUUGACGUUACCGACAGAAUAAGCACCGGCUAACUUCGUGCCAGCAGCCGCGGUAAUACGAAGGGUGCAAGCGUUAAUCGGAAUUACUGGGCGUAAAGCGCGCGUAGGUGGUUCGUUAAGUUGGAUGUGAAAGCCCCGGGCUCAACCUGGGAACUGCAUCCAAAACUGGCGAGCUAGAGUAUGGCAGAGGGUGGUGGAAUUUCCUGUGUAGCGGUGAAAUGCGUAGAUAUAGGAAGGAACACCAGUGGCGAAGGCGACCACCUGGGCUAAUACUGACACUGAGGUGCGAAAGCGUGGGGAGCAAACAGGAUUAG